rnacentral:rRNA from 1 species
AUGACUAGUUGGAUGCCCGUGCGUUGCCACGGGACAGAAACAUGUAUAAAGGUAAUGCACGAUUAUACAACAGUAAAUGCUCAAGGUAUCUCCGGCUACAUGCAUCAUGCGUCAUCUCCUCCUAAACUCUGCUCUGAGUCAAGUAUUGGGGUAGGAGACCAACAAUAUGGUCAUGUACUAAGAACCUCACAUAAACAUGGCCAUACUAACCUCGUUGUAUCCACCUACAAUUGCAGCCAUGCUUCUGAAUGGAGUGUAGUAGGGCAAGAACAUCAUGUCAAUGUCCGACUCGACCGGCACGACCUUGGUGUCCCUGAAAUGUUGAUAACACAACAAAGGAAUUGGGAGGGAGAUAGAUGUCACGCUCAGAGCGACCUUGCGGAGGAGAUCGGGGCCGAGCUGCCUGCAGGGAGUACGACGGUGGUAGGGGUGGGGCUUGAAGAUGAGAAGGUCGACAGCAGAGGGCGGCAAUUGAAUGGGCCGUUCUCCAUAGCCACCCGCCUACACGAGCCUCGCGUGCCUCCUGCUCGCACGCACAGCAGUGUAGCCUCCAGCUCGUGCCUGCACACCCGCUUGCUCUACUGUUUAACUGCUCUAGAAGGGCGGCGCCACCACAAUGAAGACGACGGUGGCGUUAGGAGCGGGAGAAGAGCGUCGGAUGGAGGGUCAUCGAGCAAAAGAGAGUCGGGGUGGCGCGGCGUCGUGUACAACCAGGACCGCAGCCAGCACAACCACGAUGUGAACGAGGAGGGCAACGAUGGUGGGAGGCAUGGGUUGGCCACGCAAGGCUCCUGGCGGCUGAUCGAGAUCUGCAGCGGCGAGUGGCCACGCAAAGCUCUGGCGGCGGAUCGGGAUCUGGGAUGGCGAAGAUGGCGUGCACGACGAUUUUUCCAGGGAGAGGAUGUGAUCGGGAGACGAGGGCAUGGAACUCCUCCCGCGACCACGUCCUCGGGCAGUUUGGCCACCGCCCACCUCUUCCCCCACAUCCUCCCCGGCAGACCCCCACGUCCUCCCGCCCCGUUCCUCCCGCACCUGUUCGCCGCCCUUCGCCCCACCACCCCCUCCUACUGGAGCCGCCCCCCGCUGGAUCCGCCCUUCGCCGCACCCCGUUGGAGCCGCCCCCUACCGCGCUGGAUCCGCCCUUCGCCCCCCCUCUCCCCCACGCCGCUGGAGCCGCCGUCUGAGCUGCCCUUUGCCGCAGGCCGCCGCCGUGCCGCUCGCCGUUGUUCCUCUUCUGCUUCACAUGAGACUACUGCCACGGCCUGGGAAUGGCAACUGAGUCGUCGGCGGUGGCCGACAUGCGGAAGGCGCCCUCCAUUGAGUGGCGGUGGGUGUCCGUGGGGAGGAGGAGGACGACAAGCUGGAGGGCUCGCGACCGUCGGGGCGGCGGGAAGGGGCUGCACCUUCGAGUUCGAGGACGAGGAGGACAACGUCGACUACGAGGACGAGGACGAGAAGCACCGGAAGGCCAGGAAACUCCUGUCACGCACGGCCACCGCCAAACUGCCUCGCGGCCAGCCCCGUCCGCUGGUGGCGAUCUUUGUGCCUCCAACCGAUGGCGAUGACCAUGCCUUUUUCAUGGGGGCACCUGCAUUAUUCGGUAUUUUGGUACAACUUAAGUAUAGGAUAUGCACCUUCCAUUUGUCUAUGCAUAAUUUUUCUGCUCAUGCAUGGUGCAAUGACACCGUGGCAGCCAUGGAGAAUAUAUGCAUGAAGCCGGAGAGGCGUUUUAGCUCCCGGAGGGUGUUUCAGCGGUGUGCUCGAGGACGAGCGUUGACAGCGCGGGUGUCCGAUUUCCAGCGGCGCAGACAUGGCGAUGGAUUUCCCAUCUCUCCGGUAGACAGGUUGCCCAUCUUCCUGGAUGAGGCGGCUAGCGCGGUGGCCCUAAUGGAUUUGAUUGGUGGCGAAGAGGAAUCCGCCAAUGGAUCUUGUGGGGCUGUUGUCGCCGGAUUUGCGCAUGACUCAUCUGGGCAGUUCGUACGUGGUGUUGUGUGCAGCAAGGAGAGGACUGUAGCUACCGGUGGUGCCGCCAUGUCCGGUUUCAUGGUGAUGGAGGGUCUGCUCAAUCUACUACUUGCAAGGUGGAUCCGCAAGCCCCUGGGUGGACUUAGAGUAAGAGUCGGGAAUCAGCCAAUGGAUAGAGCCCCAUGCCCAGAAAGAUUAGACGCGCUGGAGGAGACAAUUCGAGGGCAUGCAGAUAAAUUGGGAGACCAUGUAGUUGAGCCUGCUAUUGGCUUAACAUUCAACUCCUUGGGUGAAGCAUAUGAUUUUUGCAACCUUUAUUCGUGGGAGCAUGGUUUUGGUAUCAGUAAAGAGUCAUCCAUCGGGCAUGAAGCAGUAGAACCAUUGACUGAAGAUUCCUUAGUUUACACACGAUGUCUGACGAAGUGUGUCACUGCUCAUGGAAUUUUCAGAGUUAGAGACACCCUGUCCCAGCGGGCUCGGCACACUCUCCGCUCCGCUGAAAUUACAGGACACCCUGUCCCAGCAGGCUCGACACUCUCCGCUCCGCUGAAAUUACAGGACCGGACACUAUGUCUGGGAAGAAUUUGUGCACUGGAGCAAAUGAUUUAG